AGCUUUGCACAGUGGCAGUAUCGUAGCCAAUGAGGUUUAUCCGAGGCACGAUUAUUGCUAAUUGAAAACUAAAACACUAGCAAAUUCCAUAUCAGGUGCCACUCUCUCAUAUUGCAUAUAUUCAACUCGAGAUUUCUU
rnacentral:snRNA from 1 species